AAGUAUUUUAGUAUAAAUUUUAUUAUUUUUUAAUGGUGGAUAAAAAGGAUUUUAAAAUCUU
rnacentral:tRNA from 1 species